UCCCCAUCUUCGCAAGAUUCAGAAUGGUUGAGAUUUCUCUUGGCACAGCUACCAGAAGACUUACAACUUUCAAACAGGUUGCUCCCGUCACAUCUGCGUCGUCAAGCUCAGUUGGAGGCUGCGCGGUAACGCUAAGCUAUCACCGUAAAAGUGCCUCUAAUAGACUUCACUGGUCUACAUACAGAGCAACGGGGUCUGUUGGUCCAUUAUAUACUGUAUAG